UAUAAUCCAGAACUGAAUGUUCACUUCUGGAACUUUACAGCUAUUGUGUUCUUCUCUUAGUGUUUGAAGUGAGUUUUUAGGAAACCAUUUCUGCUCCGUUGUUCUGCAAAAAGAAUGUGUGCCAUGUUGGGCACGUGAGAAAGCCAGACAGGCCUUCGCUUUAUUCUGCUAACGGGGAGUUGUGAAUUCAAAGUGAAUGCAUUUGCUAUCAGACGGUGCUACUCUUCCUGAGCGACUCAUCCCCUCUGAGCGAGGUGCAGUGCCAUCCCUAUGGAAGAUCUCCAGGAAGUCUACCUUCAAGAGAGCACCAACAUGUGACUACUCUCACUGCGAACCUCAGCCAGGUGUCCCCCUUCAGCUCUGCCCAGGUCUCUCAGUGAAUUAGGUCUGAAUGAACACCAGUCAGAAGUUUAAAAUAUACAAGGACAAUAUAACAUAAAACAUUAAGAGAGCUGACUAUGGACCAGCAGGUAGCAUGGUGGUUCAGGUGCUGGACUCCCGCAUG